rnacentral:rRNA from 1 species
GAUGAACGCUGGCGGCGUGCCUAAUACAUGCAAGUAGAACGCUGAAGGAAGGAGCUUGCUCUUUCCGGAUGAGUUGCGAACGGGUGAGUAACGCGUAGGUAACCUGCCUGGUAGCGGGGGAUAACUAUUGGAAACGAUAGCUAAUACCGCAUAACAGUAGAUGUUGCAUGAUAUCUACUUAAAAGGUGCAAUUGCACCACUACCAGAUGGACCUGCGUUGUAUUAGCUAGUUGGUGAGGUAACGGCUCACCAAGGCGACGAUACAUAGCCGACCUGAGAGGGUGAUCGGCCACACUGGGACUGAGACACGGCCCAGACUCCUACGGGGGGCAGCAGUAGGGAAUCUUCGGCAAUGGACGGAAGUCUUACCGAGCAACGCCGCGUGAGUGAAGAAGGUUUUCGGAUCGUAAAGCUCUGUUGUAAGGGAAGAACGAGUGUGAGAGUGGAAAGUUCACACUGUGACGGUAUCUUACCAGAAAGGGACGGCUAACUACGUG